UCUCUUUUAGCUGUUUCACUGGGGCUGAAGAGUGGAGCUAGACCACAUCCAGCUGGAGCUGCACCUCAGGCAGCACCCAGGAGGGCACCCAGGAAUGGGUGUCAAGGCUGCAUUAGAAGGCUCCCUUCUCAAUGAAGAUCAGAAAUCACCAUGUACCCACAAACAGUACAAUGGAUCAAACCAUUGUGAAUUAUUCAGACACUGAAGUACUGUGUACAGCAAUGAUGCAAGAUCCCACUGGAGUGGUUACCUUUAGAAACAAGGGAUGAACCAUUUCUCUUCUGCAGUGUCUGUCUGCCGUGCUACUCUGCCUUGGACACAGCCAAUUAUGGACUGAAACCUCUGCAAACUGUGAGCCAAAUAACCUUUCGUCCUGUAACUUUGAGUGUCAAGUAUUUUGUCUGAGCAGCAAAAAAAAGUAACUAAGAUAUCUGGUAGGAUGAAAAUUUUAAUCAGUAAGUAGACAGAUGAGCUUCCCAAAAGUGACUAACCAUGAAGGGAAAGUACAAAUUGUGGCCUAUAAUUUGUACUAAAUACUGCAGAAAGAUGUCUGCAGCAUUCUGAUGACUUCAAGUUUUCAUUUCAUACCUUACAUGCAAAGGAAUCAGGAGAUUAAAGUUGGUGCAUGGUAUGAAGAGACUCGAGCCUCACCCAUUCCCAGUUGAUACCCUGAAGUCCUAAACACAGUAUGACUAUAUUUGGUGACAAGGCUUUUAGGUAGCAAUUAAGGUUCAACAAAGCUGUGAAGGUGGAUGGAUUCCUAAUCCAGUAGGACUGGUGUUUAAAAGGAUGUAGAUCCCGUUCUCUGUUUCUCUCCCCUUUCUCGUGUAUGUGUGUGUGUGUGUGUGUGUGUGUGUGUGUGUGUGUGUGUGUGCUUUGAAGAUACAAUAAAGAGGCAUCCAUCUGCAAGUCAUGAAGAGGUCUCUGAUCUGGCACCCACCACAGAAACACCCUGAGCUGAGACUUCAGCCUCUGACACUGAGAAAGUAAAUUUCUAUGGCUUAUAGUCAAUAUAUAGUUUACUAUGGCAGCGUAAGCAGACCAAUAGGAAGUAUCUUAGUUACUUUCUCAUCACUGGCACAUAGAACCUGACAUCCACAAUUAAAGGAAAGGAGGUCUGUUUUAGCUCACGGUUGUAGAAGCCCCAGUUCACAGACUGCUGGCUUUAAAGCAGGGCAGCAUGGCACAGGGCCAUGGCGGAAGAGACUUGCUUAUGUCAUGGCAGAUAGGAAGUAACAAACAGUCAAGGAAAGAGGAAGACAAGUACAUCCUUCCAGGUCACGCCUUCUCCAACCACCUUCUCCAACCAGGCUUCACCCCCAAACAUGACAUUUAGCUUAAACUCAUCAGUACACUAACCCAUGAUCCAGCACCUCCCCAAAGCCCCAGCUGCGAGCAAUGAGGCUUUGGGAGAGGCACCUAGGUAUGAGCCAUAACGUGGAGUAUAGGCAAAUUUAGAAGUUUAAUGUAAGAUCCAUACAAAAAAGCUAAGCCCUCUAAGAAUACACCCUCAGUGGAAGGGCAAACAAAGAAUAAAGAAAGUCUGAGUAAAGAAGAGGCAGAAAGCGUAUUUGUGUUAACUUGAUUUAUAAAUGAAGUGGUAAAAAAGAAACUCUAGGUAAAGUGUUAACACUUUAACAUAGUUUAACAUAGUUAACCUUCACAUAGAUAUAUUGUUUUCAUUUUUGAAUUUUUGAAACAGAGUUUCACUAUGUAGUCCAGGCUGGCCUUAAGCUCACGUAUGUGGCCCAGGAUGGCCUCAAACUCACAGAAAUCUUCCUGCCUCAGCCUCCCAAGUGCUGGUAUUACAGGUGUGCACUACGACACCUGGACUUUUGUGCAAAUUUUUUGACUCCAACUCUUUGAUCCUCUGUCUAUACAAAGUACCUCUCAAAGAUGCUUUAUUUUAAAGUGGUCCUGAUUUAUAGUGAAUAAACAAUUAGCAGGACUGAAUGCAAAUCCAAUUUUGUAUAACAUGAUUAUUUAAUAUUUUUCAAAAUAAUGAAAGAUGAUUAAGUUUGAGCCAGUGAUAAUAAACAUGGGAAAUUAGCAAACCUGUUCAGAAAGCACCAAAAAUAACUUACACAAAUGGGACAUGUAAUUAAUUAAGCCUUUAAUAAAUGGUUAAAAAUUACAUCAUAUGUAGCCAAGGAGAUAAUUAGUGGUAGAGAGGCAAAUACAUUAUCGAAGAUACAAUUCAGAGACCAAAAAUAAGUAAUAAACAAAAAAUAAAUAACUAAAUGGAAAACUAUGAAACAGAUUUAAGUAUAGAGAGGAUACAAUGGAAAGAUUUAGCAUGUAAGCAAUCAGAGCUCUAGAGAAACAACAGGAAGAAAAAAAGCAUUAUUUAAUCAUAUAAAGUCUAAGUAUUUUUCAGAACUGUGGAAGAAUAAAUAUUAUAAUUCUA